AUAGCGUAUAUUAAAGUUGUUGUGGUUAAAAAGCUCGUAGUUGAACCUUGGGCCUGGCUGGCCGGUCCCCCUCACCGGGUGCACUGAUCCAGCCGGGUCUUUCCCGCUGUGGAACCCCAUGGCCUUCACUGGUCGUGGCGGGGAAAAAGGAUUUUUACUUUGAAAAAAUUAGAGUGUUCCAGGCAGGCCUAUGCUCGAAUACAUUAGCAUGGAAUAAUAAAAUAGGACGCGUGGUUUUAUUUUGUUGUUUUCUAGGACCGCCGUAAUGAUUAAUAGGGACAGUCGGGGGCAUCAGUAUUCAAUUGUCAGAGGUGAAAUUCUUGGAUCUAUUGAAGACUAACUACUG
rnacentral:rRNA from 1 species